UACAGAGGUGGCAAGCGUUGUUCGGCUUUAUUGGGCGUAAAGGGUCCGUAGGCGGUUUGGAAAGUCAGAUGUGAAAUCCCACAGCUUAACUGUGGAACUGCAUUUGAAACUUCCAGACUAGAGUAUGAGAGGGGUUAAGGGAAUUCCCGGUGUAAGGGUGAAAUCUGCAGAGAUCGGGAGGAACACCAGUCGCGAAGGCGCUUAACUGGCUCAUUACUGACGCUCAGGGACGAAAGCUAGGGGAGCAAACGGG
rnacentral:rRNA from 1 species